CCUACGGGUGGCAGCAGUGAGGAAUAUUGGUCAAUGGACGAGAGUCUGAACCAGCCAAGUAGCGUGAAGGAUGACUGCCCUAUGGGUUGUAAACUUCUUUUAUAUGGGAAUAAAAUGUUCCACGUGUGGGAUUUUGUAUGUACCAUGUGAAUAAGGAUCGGCUAACUCCGUGCCAGCAGCCGCAGUAAUACGGAGGAUCCGAGCGUUAUCCGGAUUUAUUGGGUUUAAAGGGAGCGUAGGUGGAUUGUUAAGUCAGUUGUGAAAGUUUGCGGCUCAACCGUAAAAUUGCAGUUGAAACUGGCAGUCUUGAGUACAGUAGAGGUGGGCGGAAUUCGUGGUGUAGCGGUGAAAUGCUUAGAUAUCACGAAGAACUCCGAUUGCGAAGGCAGUUCACUGGACUGCAACUGACACUGAGGCUCGAAAGUGUGGGUAUCAAACAGGAUUAGAUACCCCUGUAGUC
rnacentral:rRNA from 1 species